rnacentral:rRNA from 1 species
UACGUAGGGGGCAAGCGUUAUCCGGAAUUACUGGGGUGUAAAGGGAGAGUAGGCGGUUAGGUAAGUAAGAUGUGAAAGCCCGCGGCUUAACUGCGGGAUUGCAUUUUAAACUAUCUGACUAGAGUACAGGAGAGGGAAGCGGAAUUCCUAGUGUAGCGGUGAAAUGCGUAGAUAUUAGGAAGAACACCAGUGGCGAAGGCGGCUUUCUGGACUGAAACUGACGCUGAGGCUCGAAAGCGUGGGGAGCAAACAGGAUUAGGAUACCCGGGGUAGUCUCUGAGCGGG